GGCUUAAGUUGCUAAUUGUUGUCGAUAUAGCCAAUUCCAAAAUAUAUACAGUAUAAUAUUGGCAAUGACAAAAUGAAGUAAAAUGUAAUAAAUAUAUCAGGAUUUCGAGCGUCUACACUUCAUAUAACUAAUUGUAGAAGGGUUUUGUAGAUGGAAAUUUCGAGCGUGGAUUUUAUAUAUUUAUUAGACUGCUGUACAGGAAUCGCAGGUCCCCAGAUUUAAUUCCUGCCAGAGGGGUCUACAGUUGCACUUUUUGCAACUGCUCCUGUUAGGUCGUAAUAAGAUGUAUAAAAUUCACACUCGAAAUUUCCAUCUACCAAACCCUUCUAAGAUGUAAAAAAUGUUCUAAACACAUUUUAUGACACUAAGAAAUAUCCACAAUAACAAGCGUCUAACCCAAAACAAAAAAUACUUACAGAAUGAUCUUAGUUUAUAAUUGCAUCACUGAACCACAAAGCAAUCAUCACCAAAAUAUCAAUAUCUUUUUCCAUAUUGAACAGUUCCACUGCAUUAGUACAUUACUGUAUCAAAAGAAAUUUCAAAAUAUCUCAAAACAAAUCAAUCAAUUUCACACAACCCAUAUCAAUUUCAAGAGACAUUUCAAAACAACGUACUCAGUGGCAUAGCCAGCCUGACAAUUUGGUCAUGCUAUGCAAAUAUUCCCAUGUUCAUAGACCGUGAAAACAAUCGAUUUCUAAAGAAACGAACAAUGAUUUGACAAUUGCAUAGCAUGACCAACUUGUCGGGCUGGCUACGCCACUGAACGUACUGUAUCACCAAAAAUAUUUUCAAUCUAUCUUGCAUGCUUAGGGCUGUUUAUAUGGAGGCGAACCAGCCUGGGUAUCCAAGCUAGCUCGCUUUGUAGAGACUGAUUUUACCCUGUGUCUACAUGAGACUGCCACUGGUCAAUAUAGAUAUCUUAUAUAAACUAGAUAGCGCAUCUUUUUUAGUAAAAUUGAAGCCAAGAAUAUCCCAGCGGUUACCCCCAUUUGUAUAGAUGGCGGCCAUGUUGGAGUUUCCCACUCGCUAAUAAACGCUUAUAAAACAACAAUAACUUUCAUUAUUUGAAUAGUUUGAAAAUGUAUUUGGAAUCACAGCUUCAAUUUUUGAAUUGCAGAAUAAUUAGAUGCACUAUCUAGUGUAUAUAAGAUAUCUAUGCACUGGUCUCACCACUAUAAAUGGUACACUGUAAUAUAAAUAUAUUCUCUCAAACCUGAAAUUUGCACUUUCGCUAGCAACUUUCAUGGUAAUAAUCCACAAAAUCGUUUGCAGAGAUCUUGUCGAGACAAUCUUAUGUACAACAAGAUAUGCAGGGGAACAGAGUGAUUAAUAACACUCAGCAAGCUUAAGCCAGCCCGGGUAAUUGUGUUUAUAUGGAAAAUUCCCCAGUCCGGUCACCAGAGAUCUCGGGUCAGUAAAGGCAGAAUCUCACUAUGGCAGCCCAGCUUGGUUCCCAAAUAUACAGAAAAUUAAAUUUAGUGGGAAAUAAUAAUGCAGGCGGAUCUCACCUAAACCGGGCCAGCUUGGGUACCAAGGCUAGCUUGCCUCCAUAUAAACAGCCCUUAGUGGAGCAGCACAUUCUCAUGCAUACUCAUGUGAUUUCCAAGUGCAGUGGCAAUUUCAAACUCGGCAUCACAGAUACAACAAAUGCUUCUAAUUCCUUACAGACAUCACAUUAGUAGGACGUACCAUGAUCAUUAUGUGAGCUUCAAAGUUUAAAUAAACAUCAAUACAGAUUAAUAUUAACCCUUUAAGUGGCAAUGCACCCUACUUUAGUACUUACUCUGUCUAAUGCCAGACAAUUUUACUCGUCAAGUGGAGAGUGCUGCCACUCAAUGGGUUAAAUAAGUCUUGUGUUAAACUUUGAAGAUCACAUAAUUGUUUGUAGCAAUUAUCACAUGCAAAAUGUUCACCACUCAUAAUUUCAUUUACAUGUCCUUGCAAUUGAAUAAUUUCUCUGCCACAAGUGUUGCACAGUAACAGUUAAGUGUGUUCUCAUGUGGCGUUUGAGAUUUUGUGGUUGUGUAAAUAUUUUCUUGCAUAUAGCACAUUCGAAAUUCUGGUCACUCUUGUGCAGUGCUGUUCUAUGUCGUGUUAACUUGGAUGAUUCUGAAAAUUUUCUCUUGCAAAUAUCGCAUUCAUAAGGUUUAUCUCCAGUGUGUGUUCUUUGAUGUCUAGCCAAGUUGCUCGAUUGGGAAAAUCGUUUGUUGCAAACAUCGCAUUCAUAAGGUUUGUCUCCACUAUGUGUUCUUCUAUGUCUAGACAAGUCACCGGAUCGCAAAAAUCUUUUGUUACAAACAUCACAUUCAUAAGGCCUGUCUCCAGUGUGUGUUGUUUUAUGUCUCACCAAAUACCUUUUCUUUGAAAAUAUCUUGUUACAAAAUUCACAUUUAAUAAACAUGGUUGCAGCUUUUGAUUUUUCCGUUGUACAGUCACCGAGCGGUCAAAUUUCGAUUAAAAAUAUCACCCAAUUGUUCCCUCGAAUCUUUCUUUGUUGGAUCUUGAUAAUACUUCGGUUCUUAGAGAUUUUUUAAUCAUAAAAACGAGAAUAUUCAGAGACACAGUUCACUGUUAACGACGUCUGUAUGAAA
rnacentral:lncRNA from 1 species